rnacentral:rRNA from 1 species
GAUGAACGCUGGCGGCGUGCCUAAUACAUGCAAGUCGAGCGAACGGACGAGAAGCUUGCUUCUCUGGUGUUAGCGGCGGACGGGUGAGUAACACGUGGAUAACCUAGCUAUAAGACUGGGAUAACGUCGGGAAACCGGAGCUAAGACCGGAUAAUAUUUUGAACCGCAUGGUUCAAAAGUGAAAUACGGGCUUGCUGUGACUGAUAGAUGGAUCCGCGCUGGAUUAGCUAGUUGGUAAGGUAACGGCUUACCAAGGCAACGAUGCAUAGCCGAACUGAUAGGGUGAUCCGGCCCACUGGGACUGAGACGCGGUCCAGACUCUGACGGGAGGCAGAAGUAGGGACGGUUGGGAGAUGGGCGGAAGACUGACCGAGGGACGCCGGGUUGGUGCUGAAGGUCUGCGGAUCGUAUGACUCUGUUAUUAGGGAAGACCACAUGUGUAAGGAACUGUGCUUAUCGUGACGGUACCUAAACAGAAAGCAACGGCUAACUACGUG